rfam:Red clover necrotic mosaic virus genes for 27 kDa protein, 57 kDa protein, 36 kDa coat protein, 88 kDa protein, complete cds.
AACAAACGUUUUACCGGUUUGUAAAUUGGAAUUCUCGAAUUCGCCAGUCGCCUUCUUCGUAUCAAGGAUCUGGAAUUUGAACGGUAUCUUUAUCAUUUUAAUUUCUACUUUUCGUACCAGUC